GGGUCCGCCGGCGAGCACUGGCGGAGGUUAUUGCGGAUGGUCGGGCCGCCAUCC
rnacentral:ncRNA from 12 species